ensembl:lncRNA
CAAAAUUUGGUCACAAAUUCAUUGGCUAUGUUAGAGAAAACACAAUGACAAAAUUCAAGUUGGAUUUUGGAAUGCUCAUGUCUCUUGUGCUGCCCCUUUCCUGCUGAUAUGGUGUAGUAUUUCUAAAGACAGCAAUGAACACAGAGGCCUUGAUCCAAUCCUUGGACCAUUUCUUCCAGAAAAGUAAACUUGACAAAUCUUUAUUUUGAGAAUGAAAACGGUAUUAUCUGAAGGAACAAAGCAAUGCACAGAAAUACCCAUAGGAACACAAGUGUGGACAAAUUGUAAUAUGACGUCUCAUUUUCCCCCUAGUCCCCCUCGUUUAGCUUUAGUGAUGACAGCAAUCCACUUACAGUAUGCACUAAAACAUGACUAUCUUCUUUUAAGCAUGCUCAAUUGUAAUCAUACUGCCAUAUACCUCUCUAAACAAAAGGGAAAUGGAUGCAUGCUUACAAAAAUUGCCUUUGACAAUUUUAAAUGGAGUGAAUAAUGAAUCAGUUCUGGCUCAAAAGCCAUAGAAGUCCCUCUCCCUUCCCCAGCCCCUAACUACAUACUCCCUCUGUGAUCUGAACAUUAACUCUUAGGGACUAUUGACUAAACAUGAUUCAGGGAUGGCUGGUUUGCAUCAAUAUUUCUAAAAUCCCUCUUAUUAUCUUGCAUACGUCAAAGUUUGAUAAGAAGGAAGAAGGAUGAAGCUAUUUAUAAUUCAGAAUGACUGUUACCAAAAGAUAUUUAAAACCAAAUCACAGUAAGUCAGAGUUUACUUUUAAAUCAGCUUGAACAAAAGACACCGUUUGAAAAUAAUUAGGAAAUCUGACAAAAUUAAGUUUGACCUUACAAUCUUAUAAAUGCCAACACAGCUUUUCUUCUGAUUUCAGUGUGCGUGUGUGUCUGUGUGUGUAUUUUUGGCACUGCAGUAUCUUCAGAGCAAAGAGACAUACUGUAAUUUAAUUCUCAGGAAAGAAUUAUGCUUUGCUGCUCAGGAGCUCCCCUCGGAGGAAUGUGCUAUUUCAUUGCUCCAUUAUGUUGGACAUCCAUCUGUAUGGACAAGUCAGAUCAGUGUUUGAUUAUUCUCAUUACUUCUGGUAAGCAGAUAUCCUCUCCCUUCCCAGCUUUUUUGUUAUUCUCACUACUCAGCUCACAGAGAAGAGUCUUUUUGGUUUUCUUCUUAGUUACUGUUAGUCUUCCUCAAAAAAAAAACAAAACAAACCAACCAACCAAACAACAACAACAACAAAAAACACCCCACAGACCAAAGCGAAACAAAAAGCUGUGAUCCACACAACUAAAACCAUUUAAACAAUCAUCCUCAGUCUUACCUGGUGAGAGAGAUUUGCACUUCCUUUUUCUAGGGGAUAGUCCUUUCUGUGGCCUGAGCAGACCCGAUCAUUCCAGUUUGUGUCACAGCUGAGCCAUCUCUGAGCAUCAGGGUGCGACCAGAGCCCUCCUGAGGUUCCUUCCUUCCAGAGUGGUCCUAUGGUUUCCCCAUAGGCUGGUAGAGCUGAGGGACUGACUGAGAGGUCUCUUUUGGGCAUCAUGAUCUGUGGAUCCUGAAGUCAUCUUCCCCAGCAGACUGAUUGGCAAUACCCUGAGCAGACACAGGUUGCUUCACUGUUCUCUCUGUUGGGAUGUUCCCCUCCUCAGUUUCAGUCAUUUGUCUCACAUAGGCUUCAGUACUCACCACUGUCUUAACUACUGACAGAGGCUGGAAACAUAUUGUUCAGCUUUGUCUCGCUAGGGUCAAGAUCAGUAAAUGUGGUACCCAGACUAAUUCAGAUCAUAGUUUUCUCAUGUUGAAUUGUUUCCUUGUCCAGCCACCAGGCAGCAAGAUUAAAUAACUUCUUGUCAUUUUGAUGUCUAUCAACUACCAGUUGACAGACAUUUUUAUUUCUGCGGAUCGGUGCUGAUGUUUGUGUGACACUGGAUCUGUUCAAAGUUUGAGGAGUGGGUCCUUGCCUUGACAUCUUGCUUCCUGGUUGGAACAGCAUAACUUGGGCAUAAUCAGUCCCAUUCUAGUCAAGUCCCCUCUGUGCCAGUUUUCACAGUAAAGAAACAAGCCAGAUGGGCACCAAAACUAACUCCCAAGAAGAGGAGCUGAAGCCACAAUUCCUGGUCUUCAGUGGCACAUCCCAACAUAUAGGUUCUGUCAAAGUUGAAAGUUAUAGGUGAAGUAUCUAGGAUUCCUCUUCUUGCCCUCAUAGAGUAAGUGGGUGUUGCUGCUGAGCUUCUCACUUAUUCAGUUUUGCCUUCUCAUCAUGAUAGGUUCUUGCGUGUUCCCAGCCAGACUCAAUCAAUCCCAUUUUUUUUCCACAGGAUGUUAGAAAUAUUCAUAUACACAGUAGAGCAUCAGAUCCCCUCUCAGCCAGAAUUAAACAACGUGACAACUUUUCUCAGUAACUUUUACUAAAGUAGCAGAGAUUUAAACUCACUUUUUUUUUUUUUCCUACUCUAGACGAACAUUCCACCCAAACUUCCCAGGUUCUUACAUAUACUCCUCUUUUCAUACUGAAGGAUAGCAGGCAUUUGCCAGCUGAGCUGUCUGCCAUCUUUCCCCAGCCAUCUUUUAUCAGAUUACAGCAGUUUUCUGAACCUGGUUUGUGCAUUGCUGGCCCAUGAAAGUUAGACAUCCUAGCUCCAGUAUCCUGAGAACGUAACUUGUCAAUAUAGCAUGUGAUUCAUGCAAUUCAUGUAAUCCAUAGAACAAAUGCCAGCUUUGAUUUGUAAUUGCUUUAAAACACUCAUUUAUAAAUGUUAAUUUGAUCCUCCUGGCAAUUGUUUUUCCGAUUGCUUUAGAUAAAAAAUGGUCUUUCUUGUAGAUUUUAGAAAAAUCCAAGAUGCAGGCUCUUCUGAAGUUUACUAAUGAAUUUAAAGAUUAACCUGCCAAUUUUAAAGGAAUUAUAUUUCUGUCUCAAACUACAUUUCUCCAUGUAGCAAGGGUCACUUACAAAUGUUUUUGUUGAAACGCACUAUCUUUGUUAGCUCUAUUUAUCUUCAAAAGGCAGCUCCAGGAUAGGAGAUUUCAUUUAAAAAUAAAUAAAAAAUCAUCAUUUAUGGCACUUAAAAUUAUUUUGAGAACCUGAAUCAAAGUAUGAUGGCUUGCCUUUCGUAGCCUUGAGACAGUGUAAAACUAUAGCCAUGCUGUGUUAAACACUUCAUACAGCUUGGGCUUUGCUUUGAUUUGAUUUGCUUGUUAUUUAUUUACACGCUAUAGGCCAGACUCUCUCCUGUGCCAGAGCUCCACUCUGUUUGGGGAUGGGUCAUAAGGAAGUAAUUACCACUCCCUGUCCUCCACAUGAUUUCUCCUGGUUGCCAGGCAGCUCUGUGUUAGACCUCUUGUGCAAGGUUCUUAAGAGUGCAUUAAAUUCAACGUGACUUCAGGAUACGCCUAGACUUUGGCACAUGCUUCUCUUCCAGGCAUUUACAAUCCUUAAGGGUAGUCUGAUUUUGGAAAGAUAGGAUAUUUAACUUUCUUGAGUCUGCAUUAGUGCAUGCAAUAGUAGAACUUCAUUUAUGAUGAAGAUACCUAUCCAAAUACAGCUUCAGAAUUAUAUGAAUCUCUGUUCAAUGCCUGGCGUAGUAGAAUAGAGGCUUUCAGGAACUUCUGGAAUAUAAAUACCACUUGUAAAGAAAUGGAACUGGAAGGUCCUUUCCAAGACAGAAGGUUAAGUGGCAGCAUGGAGACCAUGGCUGGAAAACCUUCUGUCCUCCCUUUAUGCUCAGUAGCCUUGAGGGCAACAUUGCCCAGGCUUUUCCCCCUAACACAGCUGCAGUGUGUUUGAAAAUCCUGGAGAUUGGCCACUCCAUCUGGACUCAUCCCACACACUUCAGUGAGGUGCUUGGUGAGGCUGGUCAGCAUGGACCCCCUACUGCAGCCAGGGAAGGAACAUAUCUCCCGCUGGUGAUUCUGACCAUUUAAGUUUGUCAUUUGAAUAUAAGGAGGCUGUGAACAUCUUGGAUCCUAACACAUGGGCUGCUGUGAAGUGUCUGUUGUUAAGUGAGUGGGUUUUUUAAAAAUUUAUAUCCAAAUCUGAAUAAACUGAAGACUGUUAAGGAAAGAUAAGGUUGUAUUUCCACUCAGGAUUCAUUUGCAAAUUGUCUAACUGAGAUGUUUUUGUUUUGAUUGCUUGUUAUUCCAAAAAUACUGAGUUCUUUUUGCCACUUUUUGUCCUAUUUAGCGAUAGAACCUAAUGGAGAUUUAGGCCAGGAGAUGAAAAUUGGGAGUUCCUAGUCAUCACUCAUCUUCAUGGCACAAUGUGAAAUGUCUGAGUCCUAAUUUUUUCCAUUCUUUUUUUCUUCCUGUCACAUCACAGUUCCUUUAACUGGAAUUGCUCAACCCAAAUGUAAACUGUAGGUAAACCUGUUGGUAUCACCUUAAAGACUCAGCCAGAUGCUAUACCUAGAGCCUAGCUUUCAGCUGUCUGAACCAAAAUUCAUCUUUUCUGUUCAUGUAAACCCAGUAGAUUUUCAAUAACCAUGGGUCAGCUGGUCUGUGUGGGACCAUUUUGGUGCAUUCAUGGGUUGUGAGGAUGUUGAAAAUACCUAGUAAGAAUAGGUUUCUUUCAAAAAUUUAGCUAAAAAUUAAAGUUUAAUUUUAAAAUAUUUAACUCAAUACCUCAAUUUAUCACACUUCAUCUAAUUUUUCAAAACAAUAGAUUUUGGUUAGAUUUGAAUCAAAACAGAAAAUAGUAGACACUUGAUUAGCAGAAAGUACCUUGUCCUUGCCAAGUCUGAAGUGCCCUCUGCAAAGCAUGGGCGUAUUUGGAGAAGAAGCUGCUAACAGUAAUAUAUAUAUAUAUAUAUCAUAUAUAUAUAUAUAUAUAUAUAUCAGUGAAACAAUAUAUUUCCCCCACACAGCCUGGCUCAGAAAUGGCUGAAAUAUUUUGCUCUAUUAAACAAAUAAUAAUCAGCUUGAUGCAUGGAAUAUAACAGUACAUCCAGUUGAAGUCUAACAAAGCUAUGAGGAGCCAGAGCCAGAGAUCUAAUGAACUUUUAGGAGAGGUUUCAUGUCUAAUAACAGUAAUGUUGCCCUUUGGCCCAGCAAGCAGAGCAUCACAGGAUCAGUGUGUGCCAGCUGACAGCCAUGGAGGGAUUGAUCCAGGCACUCUGCAGAGUGGAGCGCUGGUUGCUUUUCCCCUUCCUCGGGCUUCUUCCUUUGGACUUUAGGAGAUGCUAUUAAUGGCAGAAAUUCAGAGAGAGGGAACUACAUGCUCCUGGUCUCACUGGGAAGGACACUGGGGUACAUGACGAUCUGAGUAUCCUUACUGCUUUAGGAAAGAAGCCCAAAGGUUCCUGAACAACAGGUUUAGUAGGAAAGUGUAUUUUAUCCUGUGAUGUAACUGAGUGUCAAGUCAGAGGCAGUGUCCCUGAGCUGUCUCACAUCUUUGCACUGCAUCUGUAAUGCAGAACUUGGGUUCAGGUUUUUCCACCUUAUUGUCACCACCUCUUAUGGAUGCCUAUUUCUACAGACAAUGGAGAGAAGUGGGAAUCUCCAGCAGGUGAUUCAGCCCAACUCAGACAAGCAAACAAGCCAAUUCAUAAGCUCAGCACAGGCAGUCUUCCCACGGAUACCUGAGACAGCUACAUUUCUUUUUUUUUCUUUUUUUUUUUUCUUUUUUUUUUUUUGUGGUAACACUUGUUUUACAAAGUUCAGUGAAGAAAACCAAAUGCAAAAGUGAUUCUCAGGUGUAAUGUCCCUGAAGGAGGAAGGAGCUCUGCUAUAAAAGGUGUGCCAGUCCCCGCCAGCACUACACCACUGAUGGUACCAGUCCUGUCUGGCUGAGAGGUGCUGCAGGAAUAAUUAAUAUUUCUGAAGAAUGGUUCCAAAGGUGGGGGAGAAACACAUUUGUUGCCUGGGGUGGCUCUUAGAUUGUAAAUCAUAUGGCAGUCCCACAUAAAUACCUUUGAGAGCUUUUAAUGAACCGUGUCCCAUAGGUGAAAGCCAACAGCAAUAUUAGAAAUGGUGUUUGUUUUAUGGCCUAGAAACUGCAUUUUAAAUGCUAGUAUAGCUUUAUAUGACAGUUGUAUUAAAUAUAAAAUAGACCCAUUACAAAGAAAGCCCUUUACAUCUGCUUUUAUCUGUGUCUAAAUGGCAUGCCCAGCUCUGCAAUUUCUCAAAUGAGACAUUUUUAGAACUUUAUUUAUGUUACAGCCAUAACAAACUAGCAACUAGAAAACUAUAAUGGGCACAAACGGCUAAUAAAAAUGAGAUUGUUGAAAAAUACUUCUUAAUAGCAAUUUACAAAGGAUCCUGAUAAAACAGAACUGAGGCUCUGUUUCCCUGGACGUUUGCCACUACUGUAAUCACAGUCAUUUGGCAACAGGUACUCCCCCUCUUCCAUCUUCUCUGACCAUUUCCCUCUGAAUAUGCUGAAAGCCAAGUACCCUGAGGUUACUCCCUGCCCUGCCAUUAGUCACUUGGUACCUACUGAUGCAUAGACACAGAGCAGCAAUUCCCCUUUUCUCUCCUCUUACCAUGCAUGGGAUGACCUGACAGAGGAAGCAUCCUGAAGUCACAAGCUCAGAGGAGAAUAGGGCAGCAAGGCAGUAUCUGUCCCACACAUGCAGAGGGUGUCCUUUUUGCUUCUGAAACCUGCAUCACCUCUCUGAUGAACUGAUCUGUUUACACAGACUGGCUAAGAUGAGUAGGUCAAGCUCUCUGUUUAUAGACUGAAAAUUAUUUUGCCUUGAGCUGCCCAAGCAAAAGACUGGAGGUGAACUGAUUUCUUUCGAAGGACAACUUCUGUGAGUUUUGAGAAUGUCCAUGUGGCUGUUCACAUGAUGCCAGGGAGAAACUUUCUGCCACCCAAGGAAGAAAUGCCUUCUUCCAGAUCCUCACUCAUCUGCCACAGACAUACUGGUUAGCCAAGGGAGAAAAGGGUAAAGCAACAUGUUCAAGUCAAGGUCAGAGAAUUUGGUAUGAUCUAAUUGCAGGUAGUGAUGAAUAUCAUUGAAUAUAAACAAAUGGCUUAAUCAGUACAGCAUUAUACUUACCUAAUAAGGAAAAAUUCCUGUUAGUUUUUACAUCCAAUGGAAAACAACCAAGUUUUAGGAAAGAAAAUGAAACAGUUUUUCUUGAAUUAUGAAGGGCUAAAAGCACCAAACAGUUUACUGGGGAAAGAAAAAAAAAAAAAAAAAAGAUAAUGAUAUGUCUUAACAUCACUUAAGACCUGCCCUGAAAGUUGGUUGUUCAUGUCACUACUUAGAAUCAUAUAAUGAGAUAGUCCAAACUCCAUGCAAAGUAAGAUUUGCAUCAGUGUGGGAAGCUACUCAACCACCUCCCAGGGAGGCUGCCAGAAGCAGUAGAAACAGUACCCACGUGCCAGGAAAAUCUCAGCCCAGACCUCUCCUGAACUCACAGCUCUCUGCACACAUCCACUAACUCAUCUGUUAUGCUUACUGCUAGUUUGCUAGUUCAGUUUGAGAUGAAGACUAUGCAUUGUGUCCUUAGAAAUUCUGCCUUUACCCAAAAGAGAUUCAACAGUAUAGCCUGAAAUAUCUGAAACUAGCACUAAGUGCAGAAUAUUUCACGCAAUGGUAGGAGAAGAGCUUUGACAGUACAGAUACACAUACAGUUACAUAUACUGACUGGGGUAUAAGUGCAGAAUGAUAACUGUUUUAUACACUGUGAGUCUGUAGCAUUACCUCAAUUGAUGGUAGCCUUGUGGCUGUCACUGCAAAAAUUUAGCCUUCAGAUAGACCUCUGUUGACUUUUUUACUGAAAAUUAAAUAUUUGGCUAAAGAUUAAACAAAAGGAAAAGGAAGCAUAAAAAUGUAUUAAACUCCAAACAAAAUCAUGGCAACAACAGGAACUGCAGAAACAACAUCGGUUUAGAGCUGAGCUAAUCAAAGCACGUGGAUUAGCCUGACCUGUGAACAGCUGAGCUUCCACUCUAGAGUGUCUCACUCAGAUAUUGGCAUUAGAAAUUGCAAAAGUCCUGCUAUCAGAUGUGAAAGGCCCUCUACUCCUACCUCUGUGGGAUCAAGGAUGUUAACACUUAAGGGAAUGAACCUCUGGAGUGAUUGCAUUUUGGUCUUUACCUGAAGCAGAGUGAUGAGAAGAUGAGAGGUUCUCCUUGAGUUGCAAUCUGCUGUAUUCCUACUGCCUCCAGCGAUGCAAAGCAGCCACUUGGUGGCAGGGAAGGGAGAUGUUGUUGGAAACAUCCAUCUCCAGAGGAGAGCUUUCUUCCGUCUUCCCAGAAGAGGCAAUAUAGAGUUAUCAUCAUGUUUUGCAAAUGCCACGAAUACAUACAGAUCAUAAUCUUUCACUGGCUGAUGAUUAAAUUGCAUUUUGGACACAAACAACCAGGGCCAACAUCUCUCAAAAUAGAAUGGGAACCAAUAAAAGUAAUUUAAAUAUAAUGGGGCCAUAUUUUUUUUAGUGAAAAGAGAGUUACACAAGAUUUCUCCUGCAAGAGUUAUGUUGUGAUCUAAAAUACAACUUUGAUCAGAUGCUGGAGCUAUCUUUUCUACCUGUGUGACCUUUUUCUUGCAUGAUAGAGGUAAGGGAAAUCAGUAGAGAAAGAAGGAAAAUGAGUCACUAGUGCAGAAAGAAGCUCAAUUGUCAGCUGCAUCAAACUGGUUUUGAGAAGAAAACAAAACAACAGCUACUCCCAGAGAUCUAAAGAUGUAAACAACAGUAAAAUCAAAAGUACACUUAUAUAUAUCUCUUGGAAGUAUCAGAUGCACAGUAGAUAACGGCAGAAUGAGGUAUUACCUGCUCUGUGUGUUGAUGGAAACAUUCAUCUGCAAGAACCGAUGUCUUCCUGGUCUCUAAUUACAUUGAUUCUCUCGCAUGCAUAAAGUUGCAAUAUCUCUAAUUAUAUGAAUUAAUGUUUCCCCAUUGUUUCACAACUUCAGUGAGAGUACAACUCCUGAGAAUGAGAAACUGCAGGAAGAAAAUUGCAUACUUAAUUCAUCCCCCAAAUCAGAAUUGUGUUGAUAGAUACUGUUUUUCUGAUCUGCUCUGAAGUGCACAUUUGGUUAUCUUGUACAGUUUCAGAGAUCUAUGCUAUAAAAUCCCAGUUCAAAGACAGAGCCACGACUGAAAGAUUUUGUAUUAACAUUUGUAGGUUUUUUUAGUAAUGCUUUUCUAUUCUGAAGAUAUGCACGCAGCAUGUAUGUCAGUAUGUUCAGUGUUUUACAGUCUGCAGACUCCUGUAAGUUUUUCCAUGGAAUUAUGGAUACCUGCAUAGACAGCUAAAACUUUCUAUUUGGGAAUGUAUUUCUCUGAGCUCCCUUUUGCAAAUCCUGUAGUACUCCUCUGGAGAUCUGAUGGAUCUUCAAAGGUUUUCACCUCAUGUUGAAAUUCAGGCCUCACCCUUUGUAAUAAAGUAACCUCAAAAGAUUUAGGUUGAAUUUAUUUAGGCAGAAGAACUUUGAAUAUAUUCCAGAUUUUUUUGUGUCUGAAGAUUUUCUGCAGAAAGAAUAAAAAGUCAACUCUUUUUAAAUCAGCUAAUGACAGUAGAGAAAAUUUUCUCUCUCCUUUCUUUACUACAAAUUGCCACAAAAAUUAAUUCUCUUCCAUUUGCAGAUCAUGCAAGGUUACAGAGCCUGAGUUACCGUAUCUUGCACGGAUGGCUUCCAGUCAUUUUAUUUUUAGAAACUAGAACUAGAGGAAUACACCAAAUUAGACAAAGUUUCCUCCCCUAUUUAAACUUCAUGAAAAGUGCUGGACAUGUAGAUCUUAGGUUAAGCUUUGAAAGGAUUAAGAAUUAAUCCAGGCCAUUCUCAGAUCACUUUUCAAAAAUAAGAAUGAGCAGAUAUGAGUGAAUUUUAUUUUAAACACUUAAAAUGAUACCAGUUUUAACCAAUGAAAGUGAUAUGAAAUGUUGUGAGGAACAGCACCAUUCUAAAUUCUAAUUCUUCAAAAAUUAUGUGUAUAUUGAAAAUGUAUGAAUGUAUUUUGUGUUUAUACAGUUUACUGACUUCUCUCUUAGGAGAUCAUGGCUUACAUAAGGUCAGGAAGAAGUUAUUAGGGAAAGAAAUAACGUGGCCUAAAAAGAUCAAAUCACUUGACCUGAUAGAACAUUUAUGCAGCUGAGACUAGAUUUCAGCUCUCCUAGGUGAUACUGCAUGCAUGCAUUAGUCAUACUGAGGCACCAUAAUGAGAUGAAACCAUGAAUGCUGAGCUGUGAGGAUGUGUGGUUAAUUCCUAAAAUCAACUUGGAUGAAAGAGCUGAUUUAUCACAGGAAUAUGAAUACUUUUUUCUUACAGGUGUAUGGUACCCGUCUUCAUUUUAUAGUUGCUCAGAGGAACAAAUUUACUAUAUUUUGAAUUCCAUCUGUUUUCUGAUGGCUAUAAAGCUGAUGUCUGUAGUGCAGAAUUGUUUGGCUCGAUGUAAUUUGAGUACCAGAAAAGCCCUUCUUGGUUCAUGGUUCCAAAUGCUUCACAUCUUUCAAACCUCUAACGACUUUCACGUGAUCCAUCUGGAUCUCCCACCACCAUCCCUGCAGGACAACUGCAUCACAGGAUCACUCUCACAGCCUGGAUGUCUGUGUAGGCAUGGCUGGCAUCUCCUUCUCACCACUUUUCCACUAACAAUAAUAAAAUAAUAAUACUAAUACUAAUACUACUACUACUAAUAAUAAUAAUAAUAAAAGCCUUGGUAACUAGCUGGGGAGGAUAAUACAGAUCCUAACUGUCACCCCUCCUCCCAAAACAUGCAAACCAAAGCACCCAUUGAUCUGGGAGGAGCUCAUAAGGAAGCCAGAAACAAGCACAACAAAUCAUGAAAAACAUCUGCAAGUGACUUCAGCUAGAACACAUGAUUGGAAAGUAUUCUGUGUCCAAAAUAUCCCUGAGUUCAACUUUCACCAAAAUCCAAGGACCACCACCUCUGCUUCAGUGACUUGAAGCAUCCGGAGUUCACAGCUCAUGAACAUCUCAACAUGUGCAAUAAAGUCCUGCUAUCCUCUGUGUCCCUGAGGUAUUUCAUCUCAAUAGUGAGCUGAUGCUUUCCUUAAGAGUAUUUUUAGGGAUGCAAAAAGAAAUGUUGAAGGUAAGACGGCUGUGUACAGAGGAAGAUUAUAUUCCAAUCACUUCAAAGAGAAUGGGGGAGAGGGCAUGUUUCUAAUUUCUAUACAAAAACAAAGGAAGUAAUUUCUUUCAAGGUUUUUUAUUUGUUUUUCAAAUUACACAGUCCUCAACUUUUAAAAUAAUAAUCAUUCUUGACAGCCAUUUAAUAAUUGUUAGUGAUCUAUAGCUUUAUUAUAAAGUACUCGUCUAAUGAUGUAUUUCCUUUACCCUGAGGGCCAAGUACAAAGCAGGGAAAUUAUCUUGGUGAUACUUUUAAUAACUUCCUGUGGGAUUGCAAACUCUGGCUGAAACUGUCUCUGCAAAAGAGUUAAUCAUGUAAUUUCACAGAUUAGACAACAGAGGGUUACUAAUGAGAAACUUCAGUUCAGUGAUAAACUCUUUUUUUUUCCAAGAAUAUUUUGAGAGGCCUGUAACCUUUGGCUGACACCCAACAAGGCUAUUAGUUUAACCAUGGGAUGCACUACCAAAUGUACAAGAGUCAGCAGAACUUUUCCUUCUGAAAAUUGCUCAUAACCCUCUGUGAAGAAGCCUUUGAAAACCCAGAAGGGAAAGAUGGAAGGGAAAAAAAAUCAGGCAAAAAGGAGCUGACUUAUCAGCUUCCGAUAAUUGGCAUGGCUUCAGCUUCCCGUUUCUUUUCAACAAUGUACGCUCACUAUAGCAACCCCGGAUCCCAUUUAAAUGUCAUGCUGCCCUCUGUUCUAUAAACAUGUAUCAUCCAUCACUAAAUAUUUAGAUCUGAAUUGUUGGAGCUGAGUUCUGUGCCAGGGGUAAGGGGAUUAAUUCCUUUCAAGGCCCUCACAUGAUGGAUUUUUCACUGAAGUAAACAUCCGAGAAGAGCUCACACUACAGCCAUAAAAUAUAUAAAUAAAGUUUAAAGUUUAAUUAAGUCAACAUUAUUUAAAGUGGUUGUCAUAUUUUAUGGUGAACUCUUCAUGUUUAUUUUGUAUGACUCCUCAUAAAUAGUCUCUCCCCUUCAGACAAAAGGCAUGGCUGGGUUAAAGUGAAGGGUCCCAUGCAUGCGUGAUAGGGGAAGUAGGAUCUCGCAGGCUCAGGAGAUCCACAGCAAGCCGUAUCGGGCCUUCUGCUAUCUCGUGUCUCCCUAAUGAGCUGAGAUGUUGUGCAGACACAGGAAAAGCAUGGCGGAGUUUACAGCGGAUGUGACACGGGGAAGCCCUCUGAGUGGCUAUUGGGGCUAAGGCAGGGGAGGGCCUCAUCCUGCUGGGUUUGUAGUUCUUCCUUGGCACAGGGGAGGAGAUUGGUUUGGAGGGAUAAGCUGAGAGGGGCAGUUUGUCAGAGGAGAAGAUUAUACCAAGCAUCUGUGGAGAGCUGAUCUUUCUUCUGUUCCUCUUUCAUCCUUAUUUUUAUCCCUCACAAAAAAUAGUCAAUCCAAGGUGCUUCUAAGAGGAAAAUGAUACGAUGUCAUUACACUGCCUAAUCCUUUGGAACAGAAAGAAUCAUUUUAAGAGUGAAAGUAAGUGGAGAAACGCAUUGAAGGAUUGUUGAUCAGUGCUCUCCUGUAGGGAGGUCUCAUCAUGCCCUGACAAAGACUUAUGGAUGAUUAGCUGAGCACCCAGAGGAGAAAUGGGAAAAGAAAUGUUAGACCUCCAGGUCAAACUGCUGGAAAACUUGAAUUCAAUUUCUGUGCUCCUGCUGCUGCUGUGGGCAGCUCCUGCCUAUGCUCUGCACGCCAGCAAUGGACUGCAUCCUUUCAGUUAAAUUACUUGUCUUUAAGGCAAAUACAGAACUGUUGUGAAAUGCUCAUAUCCUCAAGGGACAUGUGUUGUAUAAGACUGAGAGCUCUUUUUCACUCUUUCUCAGGAUUUUCUGUGACAGAGGACCAGAAAUGUUGCCGGGAUAGUAGAUUUUGAAGUCUGGAUUGGUAGCAAAAGUAUUCACUGCGAUGGGAGUGGUGAUCGAGAAAACAGAACAAGUCCUUUGGUAUUUUUGUAACGUAUCAACAAAACUGGACUAACAGCAAUUUCUUUUGUUUACUCUGUUCAAAUUAAAAAAUGUCAGUCUCAGAAACAGUUGCCUGUAGCUGCUAUAAUGCAAACGCUGAAGCAGGAGAAGAGCGCAUUCCCCAAUUUGAUUUCAGUUAUUCCUUUCCAAAAAAACAUUUUUCUACAGAUUUGUGAGAAGUGCCAGAAAAAUGUAGAAGAACUUUAUUCCUGUGCUUAUUCAAGAUUAUAAAAUAUGAAAUAAAUAUAUGUAUGUGCAUACAUGUCUGUACAUAUAUGCACACAUUUAUGGAUUAUCAGGUACCCACGGUUGAUCUAUGAGCAUGGAUGUGUUCAUUUAAAUUCAGAAACAGUCAGUUAGCUUUGUCCAGACAGACCACAUGCAUCAAUGCAGAGCAGACCGAACUGAGAGCAUAUUCUAGCAAAUGAAGCCACAAGCAACCAUAUGAUGAAAGAUCCCUCUGCUUUCAUUCUGUAUCAGUGCUGAUUAUGUUGCUUCAAAAUCUUUAACAUUAGGUAACAUGAUCAUGCCGAAGACAGUAUGAAAUGUAAUGAGGUCUUAAUCUACAUGGCAGGUUAAAAGCUAAGAGAGUUUCUAAGGAUAUAUGUGGUAUAAAUGGAGUGUAAGCUAAUGUUAUUUGAUAAGAUAGGAAGAGGCCCAGCUGAACUGAAAGCAUUUUCAUACAGGC